rnacentral:rRNA from 1 species
UGGCGUUGCCCAGACAACUAGGAUGUUGGCUUAGAAGCAGCCAUCAUUUAAAGAGUGCGUAAUAGCUCACUAGUCGAGUGACACUGCGCCGAAAAUGUACCGGGGCUAAACAUGUUACCGAAGCUGUGGAUUGUCCUUUGGACAAUGGUAGGAGAGCGUUCUAAGGGCGUUGAAGCAUGAUCGUAAGGACAUGUGGAGCGCUUAGAAGUGAGAAUGCCGGUGUGAGUAGCGAAAGACGGGUGAGAAUCCCGUCCACCGAUUGACUAAGGUUUCCAGAGGAAGGCUCGUCCGCUCUGGGUUAGUCGGGUCCUAAGCUGAGGCCGACAGGCGUAGGCGAUGGAUAACAGGUUGAUAUUCCUGUACCACCUAUAAUCGUUUUAAUCGAUGGGGGGACGCAGUAGGAUAGGCGAAGCGUGCGAUUGGAUUGCACGUCUAAGCAGUAAGGCUGGGUAUUAGGCAAAUCCGGUACUCGUUAAGGCUGAGCUGUGAUGGGGAGAAGACAUUGUGUCUUCGAGUCGUUGAUUUCACACUGCCGAGAAAAGCCUCUAGAUAGAAAAUAGGUGCCCGUACCGCAAACCGACACAGGUAGUCAAGAUGAGAAUUCUAAGGUGAGCGAGCGAACUCUCGUUAAGGAACUCGGCAAAAUGACCCCGUAACUUCGGGAGAAGGGGUGCUCUUUAGGGUUAACGCCCAGAAGAGCCGCAGUGAAUAGGCCCAAGCGACUGUUUAUCAAAAACACAGGUCUCUGCUAAACCGUAAGGUGAUGUAUAGGGGCUGACGCCUGCCCGGUGCUGGAAGGUUAAGAGGAGUGGUUAGCUUCUGCGAAGCUACGAAUCGAAGCCCCAGUAAACGGCGGCCGUAACUAUAACGGUCCUAAGGUAGCGAAAUUCCUUGUCGGGUAAGUUCCGACCCGCACGAAAGGCGUAACGAUUUGGGCACUGUCUCAACGAGAGACUCGGUGAAAUCAUAGUACCUGUGAAGAUGCAGGUUACCCGCGACAGGACGGAAAGACCCCGUGGAGCUUUACUGUAGCCUGAUAUUGAAAUUCGGCACAGCUUGUACAGGAUAGGUAGGAGCCUUUGAAACGUGAGCGCUAGCUUACGUGGAGGCGCUGGUGGGAUACUACCCUAGCUGUGUUGGCUUUCUAACCCGCACCACUUAUCGUGGUGGGAGACAGUGUCAGGCGGGCAGUUUGACUGGGGCGGUCGCC